rnacentral:rRNA from 1 species
GACGAACGCUGGCGGCGUGCCUAAUACAUGCAAGUCGAGCGGACCAAAGGGAGCUUGCUCCUGGAGGUUAGCGGCGAACGGGUGAGUAACACGUGGGCAACCUGCCUGUAAGACUGGGAUAACAUCGAGAAAUCGGUGCUAAUACCGGAUAAUAAAAAGAACUGCAUGGUUCUUUUUGUAAAGAAUGGUUUCGGUCUAUCACUUACAGAUGGGCCGCGGCGCAUUAGCUAGUUAGGUGAGGUAACGGCUCACCAAGGCGACGGAUGCGUAGCCGACCUCGAGAGGGUGAUCGGCCACACUGGGACUGAGACACGGCCCAGACUCCUACGGGAGGCAGCAGUAGGGAAUCUUCCGCAAUGGACGAAAGUCUGACGGAGCAACGCCGCGUGAGUGAUGAAGGUCUUCGGAUC